rnacentral:rRNA from 1 species
AUGGAUAAGGUGGGCCAAUUGAGGCUUGGAGUACCUAAUAUGAGGGUGUUGCUGAAAUCUGACAAUGACUACAAUUUGGUUUUGGUUAAUUUGACAUUUAUACAGAGGCGCUCUCACUCUGACAGCAACAUUACUUAUCAGAAUAUUGGUGUUAGCCCAAGCCCGGUCUUGCCAUCAGGCUCAAAAUCUUGGCCCAGGACUCCUCCUCCCUCUAGGAGGCUAGGACGACGCAAGGGGAGGGAAACCCCUCCUCCAAAGCCGACUACACGGUCAUCAUUGUUAAAAUCAAUCGAGGUCUCCAAGAAAUUUGGGGGGAUAACAUUCUUUGAUCUUAAUCUUCCAAUGCCAAUAGGGUCAUCUAGGAAGGAGACCAAAUCACUCAUCAGGGAGGCAUGGGAAGUUGCUGAUAUCAUCGAAGCCACGAAGCAGGAACUCGAGUUCCUCUGCGUUCGUGGGACAGAAGAUGCGCUGAUUACUCCUUUCAUCAGUGAAAUGUCACAAUCAGGAGACACGAUUGUUGCAGCCCUGGUGAAUAUGGUGUCGAUCAACCCUCACCUGGUGACAGACAAGGUCUACUUGCACAAGACAGCAAAGCAUGCCAUCAAAUGCGGCGUCAUCAAUCAGUGGCUGGCAGCGCGGGAGCAGGGAUUCCUUCCCACGGGGAUAGCAGAACCACUCAGCGAACAUGAGGAAGCGAGGUUCCUCACGGAGAGGGCAUACCGUACCAUCCCUGAUGCCAUGCAACCCAUUAACCCAUCGGGCAGCGAGCUCGCGCACGUGGAGUGA